rnacentral:SRP_RNA from 1 species
GCCGGGCGCGGUGGCUCACGCCUGUAAUCCUAGCACUUUGGGAGGCCGAGGUGGGUGGAUCACUUGAGGUCAGGAGUUUGAGACCAGCCUGACCAACAUGGUGAAACCCCAUCUCUA